AUACGGAGGGUGCAAGCGUUACUCGGAAUCACUGGGCGUAAAGCGCGCGCAGGCGGCUUGAUAAGUUGGAUGUGAAAGCCUGCGGCUCAACCGUAGAACUGCAUCCAAAACUGUCAGGCUAGAGUGUGGGAGAGGAAGAUGGAAUUAGUUGUGUAGGGGUAAAAUCCGUAGAGAUAACUAGGAAUACCAAAAGCGAAGGCAAUCUUCUGGAACACUACUGACGCUGAGGCGCGAAGGCGUGGGGAGCAAACAGGAUUAGAAACCCGAGUAGUCC
rnacentral:rRNA from 1 species